AUAAUGAACCACCUUAGGGUCGAGUCUUUGCUAGCUUGCUGGUAUUGAUUCCUCUAGGGUAUAAACCACUGUGCACCGUAAUGUUUUUUGGGAGAUUGUGUGAUAGGGUAAAACCGGUCCUGCUCUCAGCAUAUCAACAAACCUAUUUAAUUUUUCUGAUUUUUUUCGUAAUGAAAAUAAAAA
rnacentral:misc_RNA from 1 species